CACAGGGUGCUCGGAUGUUUGGUGAUACGUUAUUCUGGGUAUAUCUGUGAGGAUGUUUCUGGAUGAGAUUAACAUUUAAAUUACUAGACAGAGUGAAGCAGUUUGUCCUCUUCAGUGUGGGUGGAUCUCACCCAAUCAAUCCACUGAAGGCCUUGCGAGAACAAAAGGCUGGCUAAGGUAGAAAUCUCUCUGCAUCCUCAAGCUGAGAUAUGGAUCGUCUACCUUCUGAUGGAAACUUACACCAUCAGUUUUCCUGAUUUGAAGGCCUUCAGACUUGAACUGGAACUUUACCAUUGCUCUCCUGGGUCCCCACCUUGUCAACUGCUGAUCUGGGCCUCUCAGCCUCCAUAAUCACAUGAGCCAAUUCUUUAUGAUAAGUCUCUGUCUCUCUCCCUCUCUCUCCCUCUCCCUCUCUCCCUUUCUCUCUCUCUCCUUCUCCCUCUCUCCAUAUAUAUAUAUAUAUAUAUAUAUCCUAUUGGUUCUGUUUCUCUGGAGAACCCAGAAUAACACACUAGAUAUAUGCACUAGAGUAAUGCCAAAUUACUCUCCAAAGGAGCAUCGUACCAAUUUAUUGGUCUAUGUGCAUGAGAAUUCUUAUUUUUCUACAUCCUCAUUGGCAUUCAGGCUCCCUCCUCUGGGAAGUAUUUGUUUUAUACUUUUUAAAAAAAAAUAGUUUGUUCAUUUCUUAUUAUGCAUACAAAUUUAUACAUGAAUCUUAAACUCAUUUUAUAUGUCUUAAAUACUUACGUACUUUAUAUAGCUUGAAUUUUAUGUAUGUGUGUGUGUGUGUAUAUAUAUAUAUAUCUUAAGUUAUAUAUGUGUGUAUAUAUAUACCUACAUGUAUAUGUCUUAACUACUAAUUCUUUGCGAUAUCUCCUAACACUUUUAUUUAUUUAUUUACUUAUUUAUUUAUUUAUUUAUUUAUUUAUUUUAGAGAGAGAGAGAGAGAAAGAGAGCUGCGAGAUGGGCAGAGGGAGAGGGAGAGAGACAGUCCCAAGCAGGUUCCACACCCAGCAUGGGGCCUGGUGCAGGGGCUCCAUCUGACGACCCUGAGAUCGUGGCUUGAGCUGAAAUCAAGAGUUGGACGCCUAACCGACUGAGCCACCCAGAUGAGAAAACUCAGAACAGUCAAGAUUAAGUAAUAACCCCCAACUCUGUCACUGUACAGAGUGACAAAGUGGAGCUCUGUACCACGGUCCCUCUGAUUCUCAGCCCUUGCCUUCUGUGCCUUUCCACGAGCCCUGAGGUGAAGAUGGGGAACAGAAGAUGCCAUUGUCCACGGAGAAGCCGAUGGAUGGCUGUGCACAUGGAGUGAUGGAGUUCUCUCAAGUCAAGAGGAUAUUUUUCUUCCCAUCUUCCCUUUGAGCAGAUUAUACCAACAGGUGACCAAACCAAGGGCCUAACCAAAGUCAGCCCUCGGUUCUUUCCUACUUCUCUUUGUCUACCCUCUGUCAGGCCCUUGCAAUUUUUGUCAGUCUGUCUCUGUGACUUGAAUCAGCUCCUUUCCAGACUCCGCUUGCAAAUCCCAGGGCACCUGUCACAUGGUCAUGGAGUGCUAAAGAGUGCAUGUAAAUAACACACUGGAAUCUGCAGCAGUUUUUGAUCCCUCCAAAGUCUCUAGAAAGAAAAAAUUCCUUUUGACCAUGUACAUCUGGACCCCACAUGGGCCGAAGGAAUGAUGCCCAUAGUUCAGACCUAUCCGGUGUGAAAUGCAACUAAAGAAAUAAUGUAGCCCCAAGACUGAACUGGACUCAGUCCUUAGCUUGCCCCAGCUUAGCUUGAGUAGGGGGACUUGGCCCACAGCAGUGAUUGUUCCCCUUGGAGGUGGGGGUCAGUGCCACACCCUCCCCCUCCUAAGGGGAGAACGCCAAUACUCUUCAGCAUCGCCAUCCAACUGUCCCUCUCACAACGGCACCUCUGGCGGUGGCUCAGUGUGGUCACCCGUAUGCAGCGACGCUGACUGCGGUCCGCUACAAUCACCAGAGGAAUCUGGUGCUGGCGAGAGAUCCUAGAGGGGUGGAACAGGAGGAGUGGAGUGGAAAGCGGGGCAUCUGGGAACCCUGCUCUUUUACCUCAUGGCCAUCCGAGCAGUUUUCAACCCCAGGUCCUAGCUGAGAAUCACCCUGGCCUGCUGCAGAAAGCUGUGGAUAAAGAGCCUGAGACCCAGCAGGGGGGUGAGAAAGGAAAGACACUUUAACAACGCCACGCCAGGCUGUGUCUGUGUCUACGCAACGGGGAAUAUGCGGGGUCACCUAAUGAUUUGGGCAGUGGGGCUUCAGAAGGGGCUGAAAUUCUGCCCCACGCCUUUCACUGACUCCGUACAAGAAAGUUCACCCAAGGGAAAUGUUUCAGAUUGGGUCAGUUGUCAAUAAAGAGAUGGGGGCGCCUCGGUGGCUCAGUCAGUGGAGCGUCCAGCUUCAGUUCGGGUCACGAGCUCACAGUCCGUGGGUUGGAGCCCUGUGUUGGGCUCUGUGCUGACAGCUCGGAGCCUGGAGCCUGCUUCGGAUUUUGUGUCUCCCUGUCUUGUACCUCCCCUGCUUGUUCUAUCUCUGUCUCAAAAAUAAAUAAAAAAACAUGAAAAAUAAAAAAAAGAAAAAAGGAGAGAUAAAGAUGAUCAGAUAAAUGAGCUGUGCUGCGAGGAGGUCAGACCAGGAUGGGUGAUCAUCCGGGAGUGCUUACAGGCUCAUUUGCUUUCCUUUCAUGUUUGGGGGGUUGGGGGAGGGGGGAGGCGUUUAGCCCAGUAGACUAUACAGAAAGUGACAAGCAUCACAGAGACUCUCUGAGGUGAACAGAGAAAGUGACUUCAAUUUCAAGGGGGGGAAAGCUGAGAGACUGGCUCUCUUCCUGUCUUAACUCUUUGAUGUAAACCUAUAUCCGAUUAGAACUCAAACUCUUUCUUCUUCCAGGCAGGUGGGAGGGAAAGGACCUUUAAUUGUUAACAAACUGAGGAGACUGACGGAGGCCCACGGUGUGUAAACCCUUGAAUCUAAUGAUGGAUAUUCGCUGUCAUGGGAAGAUGCUUCUGCGUUUUUCCUUGGGCAUUUUUGUUUUCAGGUUGAAUUGGUUUCCCACUACCUUAAGAAAAGAAACCUUAAAACCACGCAGGCUCCUAGUUUGAGACAUCCUCAAUUGCUAAUUUAACUUACAGAGUUGGAAACUAACCCAGCAAAAGCCUGGGGUUCUCUACUAAUCCUAAUUGUUGAUAGAGAACCAGUAAGCGGCAAUGAGGCAGGAAGCUGUGGAUGGGCUGUGACAUCCCAGGGGGAUAUCACCUCCUCUGCCAAAUAUUUAGAGCAAAAACCAGCCAUCGAUUGCAGUGUGAUGUAACCACGUUCGAAGAGCUUUGGACAGAUGGCCGAGAUGUCUCUGUGUACGUCGUAACCCUCGCCCUGCCAAAUAUAUUUAUUUGCUAUCAGACUAAACAUAUUGAGGAAAAUAUUCAUUUUCUUCUUUCUCUCCAAGACGCUUCUUUUUUUACCCCGGUUUGUCCUGAGUUUUAGUGACAGGAACCACAAUGAUGAAAAGUCCUCAAAAGUAGCUUUUAAACUUACCACUACACCCUAUAAGCCAACCAAUAUAAAGCAAGAGGGCACCAGAGCAUUGUGAACCAUGGCAAGAUAAUCUCGGAAACAGAUCCUGCUCAAGCUCAAAGUCAAUACAGAUGGAGCUUUUAAAAAUAAAGUGGUCUGGGAAGUAGAAUGAUCUUAGUUACCCAACUCCAAAGCAAAAGGCAUGCUCGGGCCCAAAUUUUAAAAAUAGAGAACGGUCCAAGAAUAAUAACAAUCUCUUGCUGGGAAAGACUUUUUGUCUUGCCUCGGUCAGAAAAAAAUAGAAUGUAAAGCUUUUCUCAGUCUCUCCAGCCCCACAGUGGGAGCCCUGGGUCUUUACCAGUCCAUCCCUGAACCAUGAUUGGGUGUGAAUGGUUGUGAGUAAAUUAUGCCAGGAGGGGACUCUGGGUAGGUGGACACCCUGAUGCAGUAGAGGGUAGAUCAAAGUCAAGGGCACAGGGAUGGGUUAAAACCAUGUGAAUAGGAUCCUUUCCAGAACUACUUACUUGAACAACCUGCUGUGUUUUGGCGAUCCGUCUUUCCAUUCCCGCCGAGGGCCAUUGUCUCCUUAUCCAUCCAUGAGGUCUGACUUAUCCUACAAAACUCAGCUCAGUGAGGGCUUUCUCUGGGAUUCCCUCCCUUUUUCCUGGUUGAAUCAACAACCACUCUUUCCUUUGUGCAUCCCGCCUCUGUGUCAGCCUCUGUCUCCUGGGGUGGAAUUCAUGUAGACUCAUUGUCUUGCACCCUCGCCUGUGAGUUCUUUGAGUGCAGAGACCUUUUCCUUAUUGUGUGUGUGUCCCACAGAAUGUCAAACACAGUGAGUGUUUACUGAAUUGGAUUGGAUUAGAAUGGAGUUGAAUUGAGAACUAAUCCCCCUUUUCAGUGGCUUCCAUAAAAGAAAUGCUACAGUGGGAUGUUGAUGAUGAAGUCGUUUACCUGAGUUGGGUCAGGGAGUGAGAUGUCUUCUGGCUACGUGUAAAACCUUAAAGUAAAGUGACCUCUCUCCUUUCAACCAACUGAGACAUCAUAUGACCAUAUAUUCCAAACUGGCAGGUGAUGGUUCAAAAGUGACUGGAAAUAAGGCCCAUGGACACUUCAAGGUCAAACCCUUGAUAAAUGUGAGAUUCAAUUAAUAGUAUGUUAAAGAUUUCGUUUUUAACUUUAUCCAUACCUCGUAAGGAGCUUGGUGAGGAAUCUCAGAGGUAUUUUAAAAGUUCUAGCUAGUUGCACAAAGUACCCUUUUCGUUCCUAAUGAUCUUUCCUUCAAUGAAAUUGAAAUUGGUUAAAGAGAAGAUCUCAUUCUAUUUCAUGCCUGACCUCUCUGGGGGCUGUUGGAAAUGUUAUGGUUUGAAAGGCUGUGGAACACGGGGACAGUUAAGCAUUCAGACAAUGGAGCCAGACUGACCUGGGUUCAAAUCCUGGAUCUGCCACAAAAAAGUAAAGAAUUUAACCUUUCUGUUUCUUUCUUCAUAAGAUGCAAGUACAUGGAAUAAGUCGUUUAGCCCAGGGCCCAGCAUGUAAGACUUUAAUACUCGGUCAUUAUUGUGACUACUAUCUACUAUGAGAUAUUCCAAUCCAAGCUGAUGAGCUCAGGUAAUUUGCUGAGCAUUUUUAUUCAUCACCACCUCCUGAGUAAACUCUUAUCCUUUUGACUCCUGAUGUAAUACUUGCAUUCCAUAAAUAAUGCAAUUUGGACUUAGCAUCUUCUUUACCGGGCCAGGGAUUUUCUUCACCAUCUUGAAUUUGAUGAUGACAUUUAAUGGGGAGACAAUGAGAGAAGACCAGUUGUUUCACAAAGGGAUUGAAGAGUUACCAUUUGAAAAGAUUUAAUUUAUGCCUUGCCUCGCCAUGGCAUUAACUCAACAGUCAAUACACGCAGCAAAGCAAGUUCAGAAUGAGGUGAUACCAGAUGCCAAAGACACAAGAAUCCUUCUACAUGUCAAGGUCUCCCCACAUAGGUCAUUCUGCCUUGUGUUAAGCCAGUUACAAUAAAGUUAGGGAAUCUCUCUGCUGAUAAUCUGUAGCAAACAUAUAUUUUUAUACAAUAAAGUCUAGAGAGAACAUUCAAGAAGAUGGAAACAAAAGCUAAAUUCCAGAAAGACUUCCCCAGAAAUGAAAAGGUGCAUGGUUAGUGCAAGUGCCCGGUUUUGGGUAAUUAUUUUAAGAGGUAGAUUAUGCUUACUCUGUGCCUGACCUAGACGUGACACAAUAUGAGGGAAA